AAAAAUUCGUGUCAAAAUAUCAUUUUCCAAAUUUGUAAUUGAUUACUAAGAGUGUAAACAAAAAAACUCUAUGGUAAUCGAUUAUACAGGUUAUAAUCUAUUUAUUUUUUGAAAUUAUUGUUUAUUUUUCAGGUAUGGACUAUUGGGGAAGAAGUUUAAGGAUACAUUCGGACAUGUUGGUGGGUCCAUCUUGGGAGGAUUUGUUGGUAUGAAGAAGCCAGAAAACCAUGGUGUCACCUACUCUUUAACAGAAGAAUUUACGAGUGUCUACAGAAUGCACCCUCUCCUACCUGAUAACCUGCAUCUGAGAGACAUAUCUGCAACUCCUGGGCCAAACAAAUCUCCACCAGUAAUCAAAGAGUACGAUAAUAAAAUCUUACCUAAACCUUUCUUUUCCCAAACUCAUUACUACAUCUGUUUCUAUUUAUAAUUUAUAAAAAUACUUAAACUAAUUCAUACCACUUAACUUGAUAUUGAAUUCUUCAAUAACUUAUAUUGUUUUUAAGAAUUGUUCUUACUUUUUAGAUUGAUAUAUAAAGUUAGAUUAUCUCAAUAAUUUGAAGCAUUUUUCAUUAUCUUUUACCAAAAUUUCUCUUUCCAUUCGGUAUUGUAGAAUCCCUAUGAAAAACUUGAUUGGACUACCAGGAGAGAAGACAUUAUCAGAAAUAGGAGUCGCAAGACAACUUGUGUCAAUGGGUCACCAAGCUUGUGGGGCAUUAGAGCUUUGGAAUUAUCCAGAGUGGCUAAGAGACCUUGUACCACAGAACAUGGAUGGCACAGAAAGGUCUGAACAUGUGGACCUGGCUGCUCUUGAAAGUAAGAUAUAUACAUACAUAUAUAUGUAAAAGUUUAUGUAUAGUUUUAAUAUUAAGAUAUAUCCUAUAUCUAGUUAUUAACCCUAAAAUUAUGAUGCAGUUUACAGGGAUAGGGAAAGGAAUGUGGCUAGAUACAACCAGUUUAGGAGGUCAUUACUGUUAAUACCUAUCUCAAAGUGGGAAGAUCUAACUGAUGAUAAGGAAGCAAUUAAAGUAUUGGAAGAAGUAUAUGGAGAUGAUGUUGAAGAGCUUGAUCUACUUGUAGGUCUCAUGGCAGAGAAGAAAAUAAAGGGUUUUGCAAUCAGUGAGACAGCUUUUGUGAUAUUCCUCCUCAUGGCAAGCAGGUAAAAGGAAUAACAUUAAAAUACCAAUAUUCUAAAGGAUUCAUUGUGUGUUUUUGGACAUUGUUUUGUGAAGUGAUUUUGAAAGGGAAUGAAUGAAACUGUUUUUGUGGAAUUGCAGGAGGCUGGAAGCUGAUAGGUUCUUCACAAGCAACUAUAAUGAAGAAACAUACACUAAAAAGGGACUUGAAUGGGUGAACACAACUGAGAGUUUGAAAGAUGUGAUUGAUCGUCACUAUCCUGAAAUGACACACAAAUGGUUGAACUCUUCUAGUGCUUUCUCUGUUUGGGAUUCACUUCCAAACUCACCCAAUCAUGUUCCUCUUUACCUUCGUGUUCCUCAUUAAUAUGUAAUUUCGAUAUUUAUGUGUUUUAUUUGGAUCUAUCUUUUGUUAAGUUUGAAUUAAUAUGCAUAUUUGUAUCUUGUAAAACACUAUGUUUCGACCAAUAUGUAUUCAGUGUACUGCGAAGAAGAAGAAUGCGAGAGAAGAGGGUCUGUGAAGAAGGAAAUGAACAGUGUAGGUUAAAACUAAAAUGCUCAGAGAAAACCUCGGUUUAUCAAAUAAGUGAUAGAAUCUCGGUUCAUCCAAAAACCAUAUCCUUCUCCAUUUUUCUAACAUAUGUUAAGAAUAAUAUAAUCAUCAAUGAGAUUAAUAAAUGCUAAAAAUAAUAUAAUUAAUAACUUAUACUGUGAGGAUUUUAAGAUUUUCUGAUACUGGGUGGUUCAACAUUGACAUAAAUUGCUCAUGUUGUAUGUUACUCAGAUAAAUAUUUUAUAAACUUAAUUAUACAUUUUAUUGCGUAAUUAUUAUUAUUAUUAUUAUUAUUGUAAUAUUAUGGUUUAUUAUUUUUAUAUUUUAUCUAAAUUGUGAACAUUUCCACAUUUUAAACAUCUGUUGAUUUUAACUAAUAAUAUGUAUCAUAAAAGAAGUUAAAAGUAAAAUUGAAUUACUUUUUAAAAUUAUGUCAUUUUGAUUUUUUUCAUAUAUUUUUAUGAAAUAUCAGCGCUUCAUUGAAAAAUUUAAUGAAUGAAAAUAAAAUAAAAAAUAAAAAAAAAAUCAUAAAAAAGUUUAGAGAUAAAAAUAAUUUAAGAUUUAACGGUAUAAAAGUGAAAUAUAGUGUAGAUGUCCAUUCAAUUAUUUUUGAGAAAUUAAGAUAGUGUUUGAAUUGGAGAGUGAAUAUGAGAGAUGUUGAAUGAAUGAAUUUGAGAAAAUGAAAAGAAAAUUGUGGUAUUGUUUGGAUUAAGAAAUUUAAAAGAAUUGAUAAAGGGAUUGGAAAGAAAAGUUUACGAAUAAUAUGAUGAAUAUGAUAGAUUAAAAAGAUGUUUUAAUUGAUAAAAGUAAAUGAUUAUCAAUUUAUCUUUGGUGUAGAAAUGUGAUAUAAAUUUAAAUAUAAGUAGUAGUAAUUAUAUUAAAACGAAAUUGAAUUUAUUAUUUAUAAUAAGAAAAUUAAAAUUAAAAAAUUAUUAUUAUUAAAAAUUAAUGGAAUAGAAUAAAAAACCGGACAAAAUAAAAACUAUAUAAAUAAUACAAUAAAAAAAACAGUAAUUUAGUGAAAUGAAGGGAGCGAGAAUCGAUUCUUCACACAAAGGGAAUCCUUAUUAGCCCCCAAAAUCAGGGCCGGGUUAGGCUAACCAAAUCUAACACAUUCUUUCGCAUAAUCACCAAACGCCCUUUUAUCUUCUGACCCUUGCCUCCCAGGAUUCCGAACAUCUUGCCUGAUUCUUACUUUUAACAAACACUCUUCUUUUUCUCUCUCUGUGGAUAACAGCAACCAACAUGCUCCUAUUUAAACGACAACCUCAACUAUUAAAUCUAACUAUUCACUGCGUUUUUCUUUACUAAAUACUUUUUACAUUCUUUAUCUUACAUAUUUUAUUUUACUUUUUCACCACAACCCUUUGACACUGCAUUUAAUAUCUGUUUUGUCUUCUUCUGUUUGUCUAUAUAGUGUUACACGAACAGUGCUCCAUUUAUUUCAUUCUUCCAGUUUCUUUCCUUACAUCUUUAAAUAUUUAAAAAAUAAUAAUAUUUUGAGAAUAUCUUAACAUUAUAAAUAUAGAUAUGUAUUAUUAUGUAAUGGGUUAAAUAUGUUUUUCGUUCUCCAACUAUUGGUCGUUUUUGUGUUUAGUCCCUCUUUCAAAGUAUAGUACAAUUUAGUCCUUCAAUUUUAGAAAACUCUGGUAUUAGUCAUUUUUACCAAAUUUUUUAACUUUAUUUACUGUUUCAAACGCAUUUCUCAGUUAAUAUUGAAGCAAAAAUGUGUUAAAAUGUGUAAACAAUCCAAAUGCUAUAAUAUAACGUGCUUGAAACAGCAAAUAAAGUUUAAAAAAUUUGGUAAAAAAAGACUAAAACUAUAGUUUUCUAAAGUUGAAGGACUAAAUUAUAUUAUACUUUGAAAGAAGGACUAAACACAAAAAUGGCUAAUAGUUGGGGGACGAAAAACAUAUUUAACCCUUAUGUAAUUGAUUUAUAUUAGUGUUUAUAAUUAUUAAAAUGUUAUAAAAAAGAAUGAAACAAUCAUUAUCAUAUUUAAAACUAUUUUUUUUCACUCUUUCAUGGCUGGAUGCACUAUACUGGAAUUUCUCUCAUUAACUAUUUUUUUUAGUUUCUAAAAUAUCUAGCCAUAAAAAUAGAAAGCCUUUUUAUUGUAUAAUUGUAAUUAGAAUUUUUUAAUAAAAAUUAAAAUAUUUUUAUUUUUCAAUUUAAUAAAAAGUAUGAAGUAUUUCUAAUUACAUAAUUAUGACAUAAUAAAAGUUAAAAAAAAUUAUAAUUAUCUUUUAUUUAUACUGCUUUUAAUAACUUUGAUAUCAUUUUUGUAAUAUCUUCUGUAUAUUUGUGCUAUUUUAGUUAUUGUAAUAUUAAGUGAAGAGACAAUUAUUAGUCGAAUAAUACUGAGAAUGGACCAUCUUUUAUGCAGCAAAAAAAGAACGUGCGUGUUUUGAAAAAGUAUUCAAGCAGUUUUAUUUUAUAUAAAUAAAAUAAAAAUAAACAUAAAGUAACAUCCUGUUCCAUUUAAAUAGAAUAAAAUUAUUAAAACAAAAUGUUACAUAUAUCAUAAUAAAAUAAUUAGAUAAAAACAAACAUACCACGAAAGAAAGAUUUAUGUAAAAUCAUUUAAUUACAUAUUUAGUUUUUUUUAAAAAUGAUGAUGUGAGUUUUUUUUAAAAAAGAAAGCCCAUGGGUUGACUCUGACCCACAGGCUUUGGAGCUUUUUAGUCCUGGGGGCUUUUUUAAUAAAGGGUUUUUUUUGGUUCUGUGGACUUUUUUGGUCCUAACCCACAUGGGCUAGGGCCAAGGCCUAUUAUAGGAGCCUAUUUGACAGGUCUACCUAUGAUGUUAUAUAUCAGGAUGACAACGGGUCGGGUCGAGUAUAAUCUGACUCGACAAAAAAACAUUCAUUUGUUACUCGAUCUAUUACUCGCACGUAUAUUUGCUUAAAAAUUAUCUGCGAGUAUUUUAAAAUCUGCAGAUAUCCGUUGAUAUUCGCAAAUAUUUUAAAAAUUAUUUUUUUAUUAAUUAUUAAAAUAAAAUUUAAAUAAAAUUACAAAAAAUAUAUAAUAUAAAUUUAAAUUUAAAUUUUAAUUAAAUUUAAUUAUAAAAUAUAAAUUAAUGUUAAUUUUGAUUAAAUUUAACCUAAUAAAGUAUAAAUUAAAUUUUUAUUUUUAUUUUUUGUAGGUAGCGGAUAUCUGCAGGUAUAUAUAGUAUAAUAUCCACACUCGACUCGUUUAUAAAUGGAUAUUAAAAUAUUCGCUAUCUGCAAUCUGCAGAUAGUAAAUAUUCGCGGAUACCAACUCUCCGUUGCGGAUUUUAUCUGGAGAUAUCUGCUAGGGCAGAUUUUUUUUGUCAUCUCUAAUUGCAUGUGCACUGAACAGGUGAAGGGUAAUUUCGUUUUUUGUACAUUCCUACUUAUCUCCCUAUCAAUGUGAGAAUGCAAAUAAGAAAAGACAAUGAGUUGUUAAAAUUAGGAUACCAUCAGCUGAAACAAACAACUAUAUACUCACAAAUCAAUCCAUUUACAUAUAUAGUACAUAUGUGGAAACUAAUACAUCCUAAGAAAAGACAACACCCCCUAAGAAAAGGCAAUGUAAUGAGUUGUCAAAAUAAUAAAGAAUUCAUAUAAGUAAAUUUUUAUACAUUAUUUUAUGUAUAAAUUAAUUUUAAUUCAAAAUAAAAUAAUUUUUGUUUAAUAUAAGAAAAUCUUCUAAAAUUAAAAUAGAAAAUUUGAGUGACUAACUUUAACAAAAACCCAACAUAAAUUCAUUGUGAAUACAAAUAAUAACAUCCAAAUUUUUAAUAUUCCUAAUACUAUUAUAAGAAUCAUCAUAUAUUUAAUAGAAUAGUUAAAAAGAAACUGAUACAAUUAUCCAAAUAAUAAAAUAUAUAUAAGAUAGGAAAGUCUAACACAUUUUUUUACACUUAAGAACUAAAGUGCAACAUGAAAUUUGUUAAAAGAGCAUAUAUACAUACAUAUAUUUUCAUAUAAAUAUGUAUAAAUCUAACUAAAAUAAAAUUCUAAUAUAAUCAUAUAUUCUAUCUCUAUCUUCCAAAGCCUGAUCAAAAGAAAGUUCUUCGUUUGCUCACAUAAUAAAAAUAUCAUUGCAAAUAGAAGAACAAACAAACAUAUAAUUAGCAGAAAGCAAAUGGUAGGCUAAUUUUAUCAAAGAAUACACAUAUGAUUAUUUACAAACAAUUUAUAAUUAAUCAUAAAUAACUAACAAUUCAUAAACAUCAAAUUAUUUACUCUAUACUUGAUCAUCCAAAUACAAGUAUUGAUACCGAACUCUAGGGGCCUUGCACUUGAAGAUGGUGCAACAACUCAUUCACACCAACUACCACACUCUGAGGUUAAUCUAUAAAAUAUUUAUGCCAAAUAAAUGACCAUCAGACUAAGGACAUCAUGUUACUCUUCACGACAUAACUACCCUUCUUUACUUUAGAUUAUAAGUUAUUAAGAGUAUCAGAUUAACCCAUAAUACCGAGCAUCAUAUAUCAAUACAUACACAAUACAAAAUCAUCUUAAGGAUUUCUCCUUGAAACUCUUAUAGCAUCAUAUACAAUUUCACACUCACGAACCAAUCUCAUACAAAAUUUAAAUCAAAUCCAUAUGUAUCUAAGAUACUUGAUCUAUAUGCAUUCAGUACUUAUCCAAAUGAUCAAAUCAAUUAAUAUUAUUGACACAAUAAUUGAUUUGAAAAUAGGUUUAUAACUCAGAGUGAGUGCCAAUUUGCUCACUUGUCUAGGAAUUUAUUUAUCUAAUCAAACCAACUAUCCUUAAAUGCAACCAACAAAUUUCAUGUGCUAUGAACCAAAUUUUAGUGAACUAAGUGGCUAACUAAGUCCUAAUUGACAUGAAUACAGAUUCCAAACACUUGGUUCCCUCACAAAACAACUGCUUUAGAAUAUUACUUAUCCAAACCUCUAUUUUUCACUAGAAACAGUCAUUACUCUAACCUAUUGUCAAACCAAAGUUCAACAGCUAAUUGAUUCACUAAAUCAUCAAGAAUCAAGCACAAUUCAGCAAGCAUUUCACACUAAGAAUUCAUUAUAUCAACUACCAAUUUCAAUAUGUCGCAUAAUACACUAUCAUAGAACUUAAAGCAGAUGCCCAUAACUGAUUUCAUAUAACUCUACCAUACCAAAACAAAUUAUCAAACCACUUAAAGCUUUAGAAAACGCAUUUAGCUUCGCUUACCUGUGAGAAGUUUAGCUAGCUUAAAAGGUCUAAAUAACUUUUUCCACUCAAGUAACUCUAUUUGUACCUACAAACCACAAAAACAUGAUUAAAGUACGUGGUUAGAACUACUAAUUAAUAAAGGACCUAAUAGAAGACUCAAGUUAUACAUGCGACAGGGUCAUAUUACAUGCAUUGAAAAGUACAGAAAACAGAGGAAAAGAGUAUAAAUUAACUUACUUUUUCAUUAGAAAUUGAUUGGUUGUAAAGGAAGAUCUUGUUGCCAUGAUCAUGAAGGCACUUCCCGAUCUUUGAACAUAUGGUUCAAUAAUUAGAACUCUUAGAAAGAAGGAAAAAAUACUCAAAAAAUGAUUUCUAAAGAGAUGAUAAGUGUUUUAAGUAAUAAGACUCUUUAAUAAAUUUCUAUUUAUACUCUUUUUAAUAUUAAAAUAACAUUAUCUCAUUAUUUAAAAUAUUUUAUCAACUCUUAAAAAUUUAUUUUUUUUUAAAUUUUUACAAAUUUUACUUAUUUGUUUUAUUUGAGUCUCUUAAAAGAAAUUAGGGUUAGUUUUAUUCUUUUAGUUUCAAAAUUUUGAAAUGUUUUAUAUAUGUAUUUUUGUUUAAUAUCUAGAAACGUUUGUGGUCAGUUUUAUUUCCAUGAUAAGAAAAUAUGGUUGCUUCAUUCAUAAUUGUACUAUUUUUGUUUCACUAGUAAAAAAUAGGGUUUAUACAGCGUACAUUAUGCCACGGUUUACCAGAAAUCGCAACAUAAUUGUGCGCGGUGGCAGUUUUGUAAAUAAAUCCAACUUAUAUGCCGCGGUUAUAUACCCCAGGUCAACUAUCAAUUUUGACGCCACGUCAGGAAAAAAUUAAAUAACAAGAGAGUAUGUCGUGGUUCUCUGAGGAACGCGGCAUAUUCCCACUGCCACCUACUGACAUUCCCCAUCAGUCAGCCCCUACAAUAAAUUGGCAGGGGAAUAGGUCGCGGUUCUCUGGGUAACCGCGGCCUAUUCCCCUGCCAAUUUAUUGCAGGGGCUGACUGAAGGGGAAUGUCAAUAGGUGACAGUGGGAAUAUGCCACGGUUCCUCAGAGAACCGCGACCUAUUCCUCUGCCACCUACUGACAUUCCCCAAAAGGCAGUUGGGAAGACAGUUGAGUAUUCAGAACGUUAGGGAAUAGGUCGUAGUUCUCAGAGCAACCGCGGCAUAUUCCCUGAUCUGAAAAAAUUUGAAAUAUUUAAGGGUAUAUGUUGUGGUUGCCCGCUGAACCGCGGCAUAUAGUUUCAAAAAUAAUUUCGAAAAUGCCAUUUAUAUUAUUUUUUUAAGGAGUAUAUGAUGCGGUUAAGUUGUGAACCGCGACAUAUUCCCCUUUGUAGGUUGAAAAAUACAAAACACUGAACAGUUUCAUCUUCUCCACGCGUUUUUCUGAAGCUUUCUCUCUGCUUUCUCCUCUGCCUCUACGCGAUUACGCUGCUGCCGCGCCAACUCCGUCUCAAAACAUCUCUGCCGCCGCGCCAUCCCGACCGUCUGUCGCGCCCUCUGCCUUCGUGCCCUCUACCGUCGCGCCAGCCUCUGUCGCCGCGUCAUUCUCUCCGUCGCGCCAUCUCUGCUUCCCCGGGUACAUUCCAUUUUCUUCUCUGAUUAAAUUUUUGUGUUAUAUUGAAAUGCUAGGUUUGAAUAUAUUGUUUUUGUGGCUUUGAUCGUUUUUGUCAAAUUUGUUGUGGUUAUCAUUUCCUUUCCAUUCUCUCAUAUUUCUCAUUUUCGUUCUUUCUCCAUUUUUGUUCUCCUUCCAUUUUCAUUCUUCUUCCAUCAACAAGUAAGGUGUUUCCUUAGUCCAAGAUUUGGGCCUUUCAUAGUGUCAAGGUUGGUAGCACCAUGAAGAGAAAUUGCGAAGAGAACAAGUGUCUCGUUCUCGCUUCUCUCUGUCGACAUUUUGCCCUUUCUUCCUCUCUCUCUCUCUCUUUUCGUUCGCGCUAUUUUCCCCUUCUCUCUCACGAUUUGUCCUUGUUUUCUCAUCCAUCCAUUACGAGUUCGACCAUAUAUUUGAAACCUUUAUUUGGUUAUGGGUGCUUGGUACAAAAAUUGAUUCUGUAAGCGACCUUGAUAGGCUUCGGUGUUGGUGCCUAACAAAAGAUCCACUUUAAUUGAUUGAGUGUUGCUGCCUAAAAAAAAGAAUCACAUCACACCUUAAUUAUACUACUAUUUUACCUUGAAUUAUGGUCAGUUUAUAAAGAAAUAAAAAAAAAGUAGAAUAAAAUAUGAAACAUGAAACAAUAAAUGGAAAGUAAAACAUUUAGGAAGAUUAGAAAAAUGUUGUUUUGGGAAAUUAACCGCAUAUACUAAAGUGGUCUAAAAAUUACGAGUUAGUAGUCAUUUGAAACAUCUUCUGUAGGUCCAAAAAUCACAAAUUAGUAGUCAUUAGAAAGAGUUGAGUUUAUUUUCUAAUAAAAAAAGAAUCACAUCAUUUGUAGGUCUGGUGAGUGACGUCUCCACAACUGGAUCCUGUAGUAGAAGUUUGUGUACAAAACCCAAAUUUGUUGUGCGUAAUCCAUUUGUGUCAUCACCAAGUUUGGUGAAGUCCUAAAACAAGUGUUGGCCAUUCAAGCCCUUGUAAUCGAUUAGAGUGUCCCUAUAAUCGAUUGCGCACAACAAAUUUGGGUUUUGUACACAAACUUUUACUGCAGGACCCAACUAUGGAGACGUCACUCACCAGAAGCAAUUUAAGUAAUUUUUUUUUCACAAAUCUUUAAUGGGUGACACUUCUUUUUUGUAUUUAAGUGUCAGUAGGGCUUGAAAACAGAGGUUUGGGCAGUCCAUGGUGGUGGAAAGACCCAAUAUUAACUACAAAAAAGAAGGGCAUUACCGACAACCAAAAUCCCUCGAAAAACAGCCAAAAGCCGGUAAAUCUUUCGGUAUUUUACUACUCUACGGGCCUUUGGUAAAUUCUUCAGAAAACGUAACUUACCAACGGCUUAAAGACCUUUGGUAAAAGCCCGUUGGUAAUUUGCGCGUUUACUGUAGUGGCUGGUGUCAUCACCAAGUUUGAUGAAGUCCUUAAACAAGUGUAGUCCAUACAGAUCCUUGUAAUCGAUUACAAUGUCCCUUUAAACAAUUAUGCGCAACAAGUUUGGUGCAUUUACGCUUCUGUCCUUUAUUUUUCCUAAUAAUUUCUUAUUAUUGUUUUUUUCUUACCAGUAUACUUUCAAAUUAUAUAAAAAUAUGCUAAAAAUAUUUUUAAUAUAAAUUAGUAUAAAUUUUCGCGUUUAUUCAUCUAAUACACCUCUUUUAUAGGAUAAUAAUAAUAAUCGUGAUGACACGUAUUUAAAUUUGAUUGGCUGCAUAUUGAUAACAUUAUCUAUAUAAUACAUUACUGAAUUUGAUUGGCUGCAUAUUGAUAACAUUAUCUAUAUAACACUUUUGUACAAUUAAAGAAAAACUAAACAUGUCUCUAUCGAAACUUGAUUACUUUCAACUAUUCAAUAAUGAAUCGUCGAACACCUAUGUUUAUAAUCAAUGACUCAAUGAACUAUUGGAACGAUUUCAUGGGAAUUUUUCUUAAAUUUCGAAGAUCAAUAAAUCUUUAUUUUAAUUAAAAAUGAUUUACUUAAUUUAAAUUAAAAAUUAUUUAAAAAACAUAAUUAAUGUUAAUUUUUAUAUUAAUGUGAUUUAAUAAGUAAGUCAACAAAUAAAAAUAAUUUUAAUAAUCGACAAAUAAUUAUAAUGAAUUUUAAUCUAAAACUAAUCUUGUUUAUAUCAAUUUAAAAGCAGAGUUGAGUCAAUCAUAUCUUUCUUGAGGUCGAGAAAAAAAGAAGAAGAAAGAGUAUGUAAAAUUUAAAUUUUUUUACUCUUAUAAAUUCUUAUAGUUUUUAUUUUUUUGAAAUUAUUUAUUCAACUUAUAAAAUAUUUUUAAUUUUCUGUAAAAAUAAAUUAUUCUAUAAAGUUUUCUUAUGCAAACAUUAUUGGGAUUUCAUUUUGUUUUAACAAAAACUUUUUUUAUUAUUUUAUCAAGAAAAAUUCAUAAACACCUGAUAUAUAUUUAAAAGUAAAACAAUAAUUAUAUAUUUAUCAUAUACGUAUAUGAUGAAAAAGUAUAUUUUAAAAAAUAUAUAUGUACAGUAAAUAUGUUCUUAUAUUAUUUUACUUCAUCAAAUCUUAUAUGAGUUCAAAAGUCAUAAGUUAUUAGUUUAUUAUAUUGAGUGAAUUAUUCAAUGAAUAUAAUUAGAGUAUAUAUGAUAUCUCUCUAUACUAUCUCGAUUUCAUGUUAUGAGUUUUUGCUGGAUUAGGAUGAGGAUGAUUCUUAUGUUCAAAUGAGAUUUUUUUUUUUUUUUCUAGAGGUCAAGUAAUUCAAUUAUGAAGUAUGUGUUUUUACUUAGAAAUUAAACCUCUAUUUAUAGAGUUUAAGAGAAUCUGAUCAAUUAAUUUACCUCUUAAUGAUUAUUAAUAUUAAUCUUAAUCAUUCAUCAAUAACAGUUAUCACUAGGGGUGGGCAAAUCGAACUGAACUGUACUGCACUGCUAAAAACUGAACUGAACUAUAAAACAGUUCAAACAAACUGAACUGAACUGUAAAACAGUUCAGACAAACUGAACUGAACUAUAUUUUGUUUUUCAAACUGAACCGUACUGAACUGUACUGUACUGCAAUAUGAACUGAACUAUUAACUGAACUGUAAACUGCACUAACUGAACUGUAAACUGCACUGACUGAACUAUUAACUGAACUGUAAACUGAACUAAACUAUUAACUGAAUUGUAAAUUACACUAACUGAACUAUUAACUAAAUUGUAAACUACACUAAUUUUAACUAAACUACAAUAUAAACUGAAAUGAACUAGUACUAUACUAAUUUUAAACUGAAUUGUCCUAAUUUUUAAACUAAAUAGUAUAACAAUACAUGUUCUUUUCUUUUUAAUUGAAAAUUAUUUUAAUAUUUAUUUUAUUUUAUUCAUAAAUGUCUAAUAANNNNNNNNNNNNNNNNNNNNNNNNNNNNNNNNNNNNNNNNNNNNNNNNNNAUUUUUAUUGAUAAAAAUAUAAAUUUUGUGAUAAAAAAGUUGUUUUAAAAAAUUAAUUAUUAUUUUUGAUGUGAACGGUUAUUUUUAUUAAUAUUUUAUUAUUAAAUAAAGUUUUUUUGACAAGAUGAAACAAUUGAACUGAAAUUAGAGAAGAUGUAAGAGUAGAUACAGUUCUCACACUUAACUGAACUGUAACUGUUAUCAGUUCAGUUUUUAAAAACUGAACCAUAAAAUAGUAUACUGAACUGUUACUAGAAAUGGAUCAGUUAUUUUUAGUACAAUAUAGUACAGUUAACUGCAGUACAGUACAGAUCUGUUAUUUUUGCCCAGCCCUAGUUAUCACAUUGAUUGCACUAUAAUUCUACUCAACUAUUGUCGUGUGACUGACUCGCUGUGGAACUCUUUUUCACACCUCGACCGUUUGGUCCAUUCAACUCAACGCAAGGUCAUGUUUGAUCGGUCGGGUAGAACCCUACAGUAACAGUAUGUAUUCUAACCAAAUUUUGGUUAGAGUUGUUUUCUAAAAUUAUGUCUUUAAAUGGUAAAACGAAAUACUAUAUGUAUAAAAUAAACUAAUUCCACUCAUGAAUUAGUUUUUCUUCGUAUAAUUUGUACCAAAAGUCUCUUGUUUUAUUCUCUUUUUUUCAAUAUCAAUUAUAACUAUAAACUUACGUGCAUAAAAUAAUUUCACUUUCCCAUUAAUUAUAACAUAGACAAAGUUGAAUUAAUGAGUCAAUCAUACGUCUCUCUAUCUAAAAUCUUAGGUCAAUGAAUUAAUGGGUCUUUCACCUUUAUAUAUUGUUCUACUUCCUCAUUUUUAUCUAAUGUGAGACUUAAACUCAUACUUGGAUUUCCAACCAUAUGUAUGUAUAUAUACAUAAACACACACAAUUGUACUAGAAAGAUAACUUCUUUAUAAAAGGUGCUUGUUGGUUAUUUUUUGUGUACCUUAGUUAUCAUCUUUACUUUUUUUUCAUUAAGUAAACAUAAAUUUUUUAGUAAACCAAAAUAAAUAUAAAUGUCAUUUUUACAUAAAAUAGGAAACUAACUUAUGAUAUUGGAUUGAAUUAUAUUUUGGUGAAAAGUGAUAAUUAAUUCUAUUGAAACCUUGUGAAUUUAAUAUUUCUUUCCAACAUAACCUAUUUCAGAUAUAAAAUGAAAUUAAUCACUUAUAAAAAAAAAUACUGAUAUAUGUUUUCUCGUUGGCGCAAGUAUAUUUCUCGGAAAAAAUUAUAUUAAAACACUCCCGGGUGAGAAAAAAUUGAUAAAAAUUUCAUCAAACAAUCAUUAUUGCUAAUGCAACUAUGAUCUUUGCUAAUCUAAUCAACGACUAAUUAAAACCCCACUAAUCUUUAUCAUGUGUUUUUUUUUGUCGGGCAAUUUGUUCAUGUAAAAUUAAAUUAUAAACAUAACCUUAUUAAUUUGAAGUGGUGUACGUUGCCAUCGAAUAAAUGGAUAAAAUACGGCCAACUACUCCUUAUUUUCCUCGUGGUUUUAAAAAAACAAAAUUAUAAAUAUAGUUCAUAUGUUAUUUUCAUUUGUUUUAUUUUUUAUAUAAAAAUACAUUUUAUUCAUUAGUUUCUCUGUUAGCGUAGGGUUUUUGUUGACCAUAAAGAAUUAAAUCGAAAACGAUUUGUCAAAUAAAAAUAAGGUUUAAACCUCUUUUUGGUCCCUAAGUUAUGAGUGAAUGUUCAGUUUAGUUCCCGCUUUUAAAAAUGUAAGUCUUUGGUUCUUAAGUUAUAAAAAAUGUAUCAAAUGAGUCCUUUUUUGAUGUUCAUGGUCAAAGUACAAAAAGUAAUCUAAAGUGCUGUUAUUAUUAAGAAACAAAUCAGAGCAAUAUAAAGAUGUAGCAGUUGUUAAGAAACAACCAAAAACAGUAUUUUAAGUCAAAAAAAGAAUCAUUUGAUACAUUUUCUAUAACUUAGGGAUUAAAGAUUUACAUUUUUAAAAAUGGAGACUAAACUGAACAUCCGCUUAUAACUUAGGAACCAAAAAGAGGUUUAAACCUAAAAAUAAAGACCAAAAUGUUAGAAUUUUCUUAUGCAGCCAUUAAAAUGAGAAGUAAACAGAAGAAAAGUGGCACUAAAUAAUAUAUGACCAAAAUGUAAAUGUCUUGGAACUUUUCAAAAGUAAGAAUAAAGACAUAAUUUAUUUUUUCGUGCACGAAUUAAUAAAAGAUUGGAGUAUUUGUUUGAUAAAAAGAAUAAAUGAAAAUGGCAUUAAUGCAAGCAUUACUUUUUUCGUUUAACCAUUUUUAACAAUUAUGUUCAUUUACCAUAAAAGAGAGAAAAAGAAAUGAGAGGAAAUAAAAAAGAAAUGAAAGACAAAGAUGGUAUGUAAGUAAUCAUAAUUAUUUUUUGUUACAUGACAACCUUUUGGAACAUUUUCCACACAAAAAGACAAGCAGAUAGUUGUUUUUCCAUGUUAGGGUUUUGAAUAAUGCAAAAUUGAAAGCAAAAUUUCUAAGCCAAGGGCUAUAAAUACAAAUGCAAACUUACAAAAAUAUACACAUUCAUAUAUCAAACUCAUCAAUUAUAUCUUCGUUUUAGCAAACAUGUGGUCUGUGAUAACGGAUCCCAUCAGAAACCUUUUUGCAAAUGUUGUUCACCAGUUCAUCCACAAAGACUUCCAUGAAGCAGUGGCCAAAAUGACCAUAAUAGAUGCUUUUCUCUUCAUUGUAUACACACAAUUCCUUCUACAUCAUAUUAUCAUAACAUGAAUAGUUGUUAUUACAUUAGUGAUAGGAUUAAGACAUCAUUUUCAAAGCAUUAAUUAUCAGAGCUUUAAUUAAGUUAAGAUCAUCACGAAAUGAGUCUGUUUUAUGCAGAUUGUUCAUUCCAUUGACAAGCUGGGGAUAUGGCAUCGUCUACCUGUUUUCUUAGGGCUAUUGUAUCUGGCUAUCAGACGUCACCUUCACCAAGAGUACAACCUCUUCAACGUUGGAACAACACCAACUGGGAUUAGGUUCAACCAUUCAGAUUUUCCAUACAGAACAGCUGAUGGAAAAUAUAAUGAUCNUUUCAAUGAAGUUGCUGGCAGCCAAGGAACUUUCUUUGGCAGAAACAUGCUUCCUGUUGAUCAGAAGAAAAAGGUCAACAAUCAUAGCUAGUUAUAAUAAUUUCAUAAAAUAUCAGUGUUUUUACUGCUAUAGUUUGUUGACUUGUUCUUAUAUGAUUUUGAUCCUUUGAGGAUAGUGAAUUUUGAAGGCAUAGUUUUGUGUGUGUGCAGCUAUUGAAGCCUGAUCCAAUGGUGGUAGCAACAAAACUACUAGCUAGAAGGACAUAUAAGGACACAGGGAAGCAAUUCAACGUGAUUGCAGCUUCUUGGAUUCAGUUCAUGAUUCACGAUUGGAUCGAUCAUCUUGAGGAUACCAAACAGGUCAAUCAAUUUCUAAAACCAUGAUGAUGUUUUUUAUUGUGAUAAUAAGAAGGUAUUUAAUUUAAUUUGUUCAUGAAAUUUUGAUACAUAUUUACAUACAUAUAUAUGCAGAUUGAACUGACUGCACCAAAAGAAGUUGCAGGCCAAUGCCCUCUAAAAUCUUUCAAAUUCUUCAAAACUAAGGAAAUUCCCACUGGAUUCUAUGAGAUAAAAACGGGAUCAUCGAACAUUCGAACACCAUGGUGGUAAGAUUUCUACUGCAGUUUACCUCAGCCAAAAGUUAAAGGUUAAUGUUGAUAAGUUUAUUAUUCCUACUUCUUAUACUGAGUUUAUGACUAACAUAAUUUCAGAAAAAACAGUUUUUAAACGAGGAGCAUAUCUCACUUAUAUAUUAUAAAAGUUUUCGAUAUGUACUAAGUAAUGAUACUGACAGAAAAUUAUAAUUUGAAAAAGGAAAGAAAAGAUAACUUAGAUGAAAAAAAUGGCGGCGUAUAUGCAUGUAGAAAAUUCAAUGCGUGGGGGCACGAUAGCGUUUACAUCUAACAAAAUGGCGGCGAAAGAUAUAAGAUAUGUGAUUUGGUUUGAUUUAGGUUGACCUACCUACAUAUUUUUGGCAAUGGGACAUUAUUUUACUAUUUUUGACCGAAGUGUUGCCAAGAUCGGAGUGAAUCUUAACGAGAAUCAAUAAUCUUUCUAAAAUUUUUAAAAAUAAAAAUUCAUGAAAAUUAAAUUAGGUAAAUUUUUAUUUCUUUUAUAAAUUAUGUAAUAAUAAAAUAUAAAAUCAAAUAUAAUAAAUAAUAAAAUUAUUAAGAUUUUUUUUUUUUUAAUUUUCUCUUACCUUUACCUGUUGGUGUUCAUUUCCCACCCUCUCAUGCUUACUUUUUAUCAUAAAGGAAAAAAAAACAGGUUAAAAUUCAUUAUUCUAAAUUAUGGAUUUUUGUUAUGUUUGUAAUAUUCAUCAAAUAUAUAAAUUUUCGUAUAUACCUAAGAAAAACUCGUCGAGUUAAGUCAGAACAAAAUAUAUUUUGAAAUAAAAGAAUGAGUAUAAGAGUGAGUAUGAUUUUUUUUUUUUAAAUAUCAUAUCUUUAUAAAAUUAUUUGAACUUUAGGAUUCAUGUCAUAAAAAUAUAAUGAUAUAAUAAAUUAUAUACCAACAAAAUAAAAACUUAUCUUAAAUAAAUAAUAUUAAUAAUAAUAAUAUGAGAUCUUAUCAAUAAUAAUAUUCAAAUCUACUAGAUUUGUCAUGAUUAUAAGAAAUAUUAGUUUUAGUAAAAGUAAUAUCACACUCAUAUUUAUUUGACACAUUUAAUUUGAGUAAAUUGAUCUUAAAAAAGUGAAUUUUUGUAAUUUAAAAAAAAAUAAAAAUAAAAGGUAAGAAAAAGUAGUAUGAAAUGAAUGUAAAAAAAUUAUGUAGGUUAAAGUAUAUUGGACUAAUGUAAAAGUUAAAAGUAGCUGAUAUGAAAGUUAUUGGUAUAUAGUCUCUGAGAGAAGAUGUUUAAGUUGCAUGGAUUUGGUUGGUGAAAUAGGGAUGCAAGUGCUGUGUAUGGAAGCAAUGGAGAAGUUUUACAGAAAGUGAGGACUUUCAAAGAUGGAAAGCUAAAUAUAUCAAAGGAUGGAAACCUUCUGCAUAACGAAAAUGGAACAGCAGUUGCAGGUGACAUCCGCAACAGUUGGGCUGGUGUUUCAACUCUGCAAUCCCUUUUCAUUCAAGAACACAAUGCAGUUUGUGAUUCUCUCAAGGUAUAAUAUUCAUAAAUUAUAUCAUGGAAAAAACAGUAACCAAUCUUAUUUUAAAAACAAACUCAUCAAUUAAAAGAAAAUACUAACAAAAUACCUGUUUUUAAUUGUACUGUUUCAGAAAUAUUACCCUCAUUUGAAUGAUGAAGAACUUUAUCGCCAUGCAAGAUUGGUGAUUUCAGCUGUGAUUGCAAAGGUUCACACCAUUGAUUGGACUGUGGAGCUUCUUAAAACUGAUACUCUACAUGCAGGAAUGCGUGCCAACUGGUAAGCUUCUCGGCACCACACAAUUUUCUGACACAUUUUACAUUAAAAAAUUUAUCUACUGCCUUUUUUUUUUUUCAUUUAUAUUCAAAAUGUAAAAUGAAGUGUUAUUUAUUUCUAUUUAUUUUUUGAAAUUAUUGUUUAAUUUUCAGGUAUGGACUAUUGGGGAAGAAGUUUAAGGAUACAUUUGGACAUGUUGGUGGGUCCAUCUUGGGAGGAUUUGUUGGUAUGAAGAAGCCAGAAAAUCAUGGUGUCACAUACUCUUUAACAGAAGAAUUUGCGAGUGUCUACAGAAUGCA
rnacentral:lncRNA from 1 species